UGGACGUGUCUGGCCUGGGUGAGAGAUAAUGCCAUUCACAAAGACGUGAUGUGGAGAAAGCCAGGCUCUGAGGAGAGCUGGUGCGUUGUCUUCACCGUGUUGAGUUUGACGUCUCUGAGGAACCUGGGUGUAGCCAAUUCAGUGGUCUGAGGCUCCAUCACUUUUCUGGCAGAACUUCCUCUGCCCAGCGAUUUUGGAACAUCCUCUGGAUGCAGGUUCUAGGGCCUUGGUUCUUCCGCCUUGUUCCUGGGCUGCUGCUGCUGCUAUGGUGCUCAAGGAAGAAGCCACACGACUGGGAGCACAUGUAACAGAACAUGCACGGUUAGCUCAACUACGUAUUUAGUCUGCACGACUUCACCUGGACUUAAAAACUUUUCCGUUUUUGCAAGGCACGGAAGAUACAACACACCUGCUGACCACCACAUCCAGAACUUCCCCCAAUCUGCGUCACUGAGGAGCCCACUCCAGGGUCGUUUUCUAGAACAAAGGGACAGUGGGCCUUAAAGGUAAUUUUAAGAUUCUGCCUCCUAGAAGGCAUAAAACUGCUUAAAACUUCUGCAACAAAUUCCAGAGCACUUAGAGUUUCCACUCUAUUAGGUCCAGCCUGCAGUAUAAGCAAAAAUCGCUUCUUAUAUGUCUACAACUUCACGUGGAAAAGCACCAGUAACAUCAGAUGCAUCUAGGACGCAGUAUGUCCGUCAUCCAUGGGUGGCGUUUGAGGUGGCAUGUGCUCCCCUGGCUCUGGGCAAGUGUGCCACAAGUGUCACACCCAAUAGACUGGACAGACCCCAUGGCCCACCUAGGAUGGGGUGGAGGGUUCCCUCUGGUCCAGCUGCACAUUCUGUAGUUACGCCCAGCUCUGGCUCUAGCAACCAAGGGGUUCAGUAGAGCACCCACAUUUGGGCUUAAUUUCUGCCAAUGUUCCUGUAAUGGAAAGUCAACGGCGUCUGUAGCUUGUUGUUUGUUUUACCUCGAAUAGAGCUAAUAAUAUUACCUACUCCAGACAUUUGUUGUAAGAAAUAAAUGGCACA